UAUUACAUUACACAAUAACGUUACUUCGGUCUCUGAAGCCCAACUUGUCCCUUACAAUAAUUACUAUACCAUUCCUUUUUCUCGUCUGUGUCUAACAUUUUCUGAGUAACACCCUUUCUUGUUUACCCUUCCUAAGUCGUGAUGUGUUCGAUUGUAAUGUAAAGGUUUUCGGUGUAAUCAAAUCAGCCGCAACUGGUACAAGUGAGCUAAUCAGAAUAUCGAUCAGACGCAGCACCUGCAAUUUCCUGCCAGUUUCGCGUGUCCUGGAAGUGUUACAUUUCGAGGUGAUUGCAAAAACAGUACAUACAGAUUACCCUGGACGAGUUCGUAGCACCCUUUUCAGCGCAUUUAUUUAGCGAGUUGGUACUAAUGCUUUACGCCGUGCACGUUAUUCAGAAAUGAUAAAUGACAAAGGAUCUUGGAAUCUAGCAAAUGUUAUUUUGUUUGCUUUGCGCAGCCUGUACGAGCUGCUAGAAUGGCUCGUACGACCAUUUGGAAUUUUAGCUUCUAUACUAAAGAAUCUAAUAUAUAGAUAAACAGUGCAAUUUUCGUAACUUCGAAAGUUGAGCAAACAGAUUAAACAUGCUAACCGUUCGAUAUUUCUCGUCGAUAUCUGUAUUUAUACGGUAAAACCUUGUAAGCAAAAGUUAACACUUUAAUGAACGAUAGUCUAGCACAAGGCGGCAUUUGUAGAUGAAAAGAAUAGAGUAAAAAAAGAUCAAUAAUUCACUUCCGACCAAUUUAACUUUGUCACUAGACAAAGCCCUAUUCUAAAUAGUAAAUGUUUACGUCAGUUACUGCCUUAGACAUCUCUUAAACAUGUCGACGAAGGCACUGGUAAUGAAGCUAUUUUUUAAUAGAAUUAUUGUUGAGCACUGCGCACCUCUGGUAACUGAUGCAUCGACCCAGUGUUAUGGAUAGACGACGUAACAAAGUCGUUGUAAUUUGCGUUGAUUCGAACCUUGGAAGGUCAUCGUCGUAACGAUACGAAAUUGUCUUCUUGGGUUUUACCAACCGAAGGCGGUUUACGUAUCUCCGAUGUAAUAAAACUAGGUGGCGACAAUCACCUACAGUCGACGGCGGACCGACAUGUUAUAGUUAUGCUUCACGCAGGAUUGACUAAUAUCAUGUAUUUUCGCUGAAAUCAACUUGCCGUUCAUUAUCUCUGUGACCAGGUUGAAAAUUUCACUUAUUUGCGCCGAGAUAUGGGUGCUUACCUAAAAGUCUAUUUUUUCCAAGUUGUCAUGAAUACGUCUUGAAGCACUUUUCUACGAAAUUACAUGAAGACGACUGAUGGAUCGUUGCAGGCGCUGUUUCAAAAAGGAUUCAAUGUUUCUGUGGGUGACAGUUCGUAAAAGCGAUACAAAAUCUAAUGUCAUUCACUUCAAUCACCAUGUUUUACCACGAUCAGUGCAGCUACUGGGCUGCUCUUAGCGGAAACCUUCGGUCAACGAAAGGUCGAAGAGGGUAAAACGGCUAUCAGGUAAGAAAGGUAGAACGCCAAAGAUAAACGACGAGGAAAAGAAUGCCACAGUAGCAUAGUGGCAGAACGAGUGAGCAGCUAUCCCAAGGAGCGGUUCGGGCCCAUAUGUCAAAAGCCAGACCAGCAGCAAAAAUAAAGGCGGCAGCGAAAGGGACUCGCGGUUACGACCCCAGCGGUAGCGCCACUCCGGAUGUGUCAGAAGGCGACAUAAAGCGAUUCAUACAUUUCGUAUGCGGCUGGGGAUCACCUUGACCAUGGAUGCAGAAGUCGUGGGAGAGAAACGAUGGCCGGGAAGACUGAGGAGAGCCAAACUUGGUACGGAGCAGGCAAACAAUGUCGCUACAAAUCCAAGUUCGCAGGCUGUUCGGAGAAAAACAUCGAGAGAGUAACUCUGGCCAGCUAAUUCGGUUGUUGAAAUCAUAACCUACCCGGUCAAGUUUGACGCUGAAGCCAUUACCAGGAAAGGCGGAAUAAUCCUCAAUUUUGUAUUCAUAUCAGUUCCUGUAUUAUUGACAAUUCGUCUGUGAUUGACUCAUCCGUUCACUGCACUUACUACAGCGUUUCAUUUGAAGUAGUCGCCGAACUAGUGGAGCCUUCUGAGGUCAAACAGUGCCUAAAUUUCCUCGAGAACUUAAAGAACUUCCAACCAAAUGUAGUUAAAUCCUGAAAGGAAUUCCCCUGUCUUCCCUAAAAACAUUGUAUACCCUCUUAUCGAGCCCCUAUGCAUAAUAAUGACGCGAACCUGCAAGAAGCGACUUGUUUUCAAUUUUUCAAUGUUCCAAUAGUUACAUCAGUCCAUGAAGAAAAUGUAAACCUGAACGGAAAAAUAUUAUCCAGCAGGUCAAGGGUCAAUAGCCUGCUUAGUUUAAGAAAAAACGGUAAUUGACUAUAUUGUUGUUUACUUAGCUUCAAGACUGCCUCCUGGCGCUCAUCAACGUGGAUUUGCCAAGGACAGAUUUACGAUCACAGGGCUUCGUACAAUGACCCAAGAUUGGGAAUUAUUUUAAAGCCACCAGAUAAAAUUUGACGGCAUCUACUUUAACUUUUCUAAGGUUUUUGGCCAAGUUAAUUAAGAGUUAUUACUUGUAAAGCUUAUUAAAACGGAGAAGCAGAUCCCUGCCCCAUACAAUCGAUUGGAAGCUAUCUGACAAAUCAAAUUUUUCAUGUUAAUAUUAAUUGCAUUCACAAAUUUCAGAGGAGUAUGCCUCUUGGAUGGACCUCAAGGUUUUUACACGGGCUUUAUGCUUAUGGUUUGAAACUCGAAUAGGUGGCCUUUUUACUAGAGCUGGCGCGCUUGUUACUUCAGUCGACAGUCGAUGUCGUAUCUGCGUGUGACGCACCAGUGGUACGAUCAUCUCUACCAAAAGUGCAUGCUCUCGUAAGCAAACUAACAAACACACUUUCAAGUGUGUGAUCAUUCCUCUAAUGAGAUCGGUAAAAUACAAUGACAUAGGAACUUAACUUUAGCGUUCAUCACCGUUAGUCUUAUUUUUUUUAGACACUCUGCAAUAGGAAGCUGCAUAUUUAAUAUUAAUAUUCGAACAGUCACAUAAUUCCCAAAUUUCUAUAUCAUUUCGCUGUUUAAAAUUUUCAUAUAAAAUAUAUUGACACCAUUAAAUGAAUGCGGAAUCGGUCUGUUCGUUGAGCUACCUUCAGAUACGGCAUAAAUUUAAGAAGUCUUUGAGUUUCGUGCUACUUGUUAGUAUGUUUCGAGUUUUACGACCGGUAUCGCCAUUUGUCAUUUUAUUAGAUGGCUGACCCCCAGACAUGAAAUGAGGUCAGUCUAUGACCGGCUUUCGGACUUCGAUCACCAAGUAUUCCUAAAAUUAGCAAACAAAUACGUUAUCCACUAAGCUAUCACGGGACUAUCGUCUACCAAACACCUACUUUGCCAACAAAACCGACGGGAGGAUCGAUGUAGACAUUUCUACCACCGUAGUUGAUGUCACCAACAUCCUUUAGAGCAGUGGGAUUUGUUAGUGCACGGUUCAUUUUUUCAACUAUUUACCCGACAGCUUUCUGCUGACGUUGCCAGCCUCGAAAAACUGGUUUAUACGGCUGUUCUCGGAAGGGUCAGCCAGUUUGGAGUGCCACGAGGGAGCUGCUGUAAAGGAAUGUACGAAGUGGAGAUACGGAACGCAAAUUUCUAACUUUGUUAUUAUACGUUGGAUGUCGAAAACGUGUUCUAUCGAGCUAGCUUCUUAUUUUCUGUAUUAGAGUUUUGUUUCUUGCUUUCCCUGGCUUUCUCGCUUGACUACAGGCAUGGAGAGUGACCGGCCAAUAGGCACUGCACAAAAGGAAAAAUAGCCGAAAUAGAAAUUCGAAUUACGGAGUGGCGGUAACCCGGAGAGGGUCCAGUUUGCGACUGGUAAGACACAUACCAUCGGUUACCGCAAUCGCAUUGCUUUGCUAUUUUAAGACGUUUUUUGAAUUUCUCCUUUUUCGUACGCACUUCUACGCGAAGACAACACUGAAGCCCACCCGCGAUUUCAGCUUUCUUCGAGGUUUCUACAUGCUAUCACAUAUGUCUCGCCUGCUCAGAUUCGCACUAGAAUUGAAAAUAGAUAUAGAAACUACAUAAAAUACAGAGCGCGCAUUGAAGAGGAACCAUAUACAUCGAACAUGUUAAUCACAACGCACUACGCACAGGCAAAAGAAGAUUCAAACAGCUGACGAUAGCUUACGGAGCGACGAGCUAGUAACUAAGGAAAAAUAAACGUGGAACUUGUAUCAAAGAUAAUCGUCUGUUAGAAAGUUAAGAAAGAAAAGUAACUAUUUUCAAACUGUAUAGCAUAGUCUCGGUAACAAUAUCUGUCUCAUUUCACUGGAUCCCCCUUGUCAAAGCCGGCUCUGUACUCGUUGUACAAAGUAAAUCGAGGAUUUUUCUGAACCUAAGCGGUACGGUUACCCCGAGUAGAUAUCGGCUACGCUAUCCACACAGUUGUACGCACCGGUUAAACGCUCGUCAGAUCAUUCUGAUCUCAGAAACAGCUCGCAUCGAUGCUACGUCGCGCGUCGUCGUAGCGAACCGAUGUUUUACUAGAGGAAACAGUGCAUGGGCUGUUUGUGUCGGAAAUAAUAGACUAGUAGUUAGAUUUAAUAAUAGGGUUAAACUAUUUCUGUCACGUAAUUGGAUUGGUACUUCGUGCGUUCAUGUCUGACCUGUACCACUCUUGUCAACGUAAAAGUUGUAACUAAUCUUGCCAGCAGGACCAUUUGCCGACAAACCCUCUGGCGACCACCUUGAAAGCGUUUAUCAAAAAAAAUGAGACACAGAUAAAUAUAACAUGUAAAGCCUGAAUAGGUAACGCCAACAAGAAAUUAACUGAUACCACCACUCUGCGUAUAAGCAUUUUAAUUAGGCAAAAAGCACUGUCUAAUAGAGUUGAGCGGACAUUCAACAUAUACAAACGCAUGAAGACUAAGACUAGUCGGUGUUGAAUGAAUCUUGCUCUAAUGUUAUAACCUCGUAUGGUCUCGAUUGUAAUAGGUCUCUAUAUAAGGGUUCAGGAACCAGCGAAGUAAUGAACGAGCAGAACUAAUGGUGACUAUUUACAUUGUUGAGGCAUACUCAAAGGCUGCCUAGGCCUAUGCCCAUAAGCAUCAAUUAAUCCACUGAACUUUGUUUAUCCUAGUGGUAUACCCUGAAACGGCUUUCAACUCCUAGGGAAGAUUAGUUUGCAAUGGAGAGAUACGAAUAUGUCACACUCGCCUCAUCAGAGAAUUAUAGGUCUCUUACGUUUUAACCGGAAUUCAAUAUUGUUUUGUUAGUUAGUAUCUUUCUGUUUACCUCCAACCACUGUGAUUAAUCAGCAUAGGCCAACGCAUAUAUAUCCAUUCAUGGACUUAUGACAACUGAAGCAGAUUUGUUCAGCCCAUUAUAAGCACAAAGUGAAUUUUUAGCUGAUAUAUGUAUGUAUAUGUAAGAGACACACCUCAUCGACACGUGUGGCCUUCACAAGACAGGCUUAACGAGCUAUGUCCAUGACUGCGGUCACGUAUUAAGUCAUAUGGUCUUUUAAGAGCCUACGUGUAGUUCUCGGAGAAGGCAAUUUUAGAAGACUUAACCUUUGUAUUUUACGUCCGGUAUCGCGGUGAAGCAUUUCAUUUUGGAUGCUAGCAUAACUCUAUUAUCAUGACAAUGUACCUGUAGACAAAUCAAAUCAUACGGUGUCCCCUAUAGAACAUGACCUAUCUUUUAUGUACGAAAUAGCACAUACUUCCCUUUCCCCCAUUUAAACAUGUAUCUACUUAACUAAGACAUGUCUAACUAGAAGAUAAAACCAGCAGAAUUAUCUUUUUGCACAAAAAAAAUGUAUAAAAGAACCAAGUGUGGUUUUUACUAUGAUUCGAUUUCUCACUGCGCCAGGCUACGUUAGGAAAUCUUAUCCAAGAUCGGCAUACGCAAUAAAAACAUGUCUAUAGGUAUUGGGGGGCAUGUCAGUAUGUUUGUGUCAGUUUACGUCAAGUACUUGUGUUGGAAGCAAAGAGCUUAUUCGUGUUAAACAUUAGCUGG